rnacentral:rRNA from 1 species
CAGCCUGAUGCAGCCAUGCCGCGUGUAUGAAGAAGGCCUUCGGGUUGUAAAGUACUUUCAGUCGUGAGGAAGGCGGCGUCGUUAAUAGCGGCAUCGUUUGACGUUAGCGACAGAAGAAGCACCGGCUAACUCCGUGCCAGCAGCCGCGGUAAUACGGAGGGUGCGAGCGUUAAUCGGAAUUACUGGGCGUAAAGCGCAUGCAGGUGGUUUGUUAAGUCAGAUGUGAAAGCCCGGGGCUCAACCUCGGAAUAGCAUUUGAAACUGGCAGACUAGAGUACUGUAGAGGGGGGUAGAAUUUCAGGUGUAGCGGUGAAAUGCGUAGAGAUCUGAAGGAAUACCGGUGGCGAAGGCGGCCCCCUGGACAGAUACUGACACUCAGAUGCGAAAGCGUGGGGAGCAAACAGGAUUAGAUACCCUGGUAGUCCACGCCGUAAACGAUGUCUACUUGGAGGUUGUGGCCUUGAGCCGUGGCUUUCGGAGCUAACGCGUUAAGUAGACCGCCUGGGGAGUACGGUCGCAAGAUUAAAACUCAAAUGAAUUGACGGGGGCCCGCACAAGCGGUGGAGCAUGUGGUUUAAUUCGAUGCAACGCGAAGAACCUUACCUACUCUUGACAUCCAGAGAACUUUUCAGAGAUGAAUUGGUGCCUUCGGGAACUCUGAGACAGGUGCUGCAUGGCUGUCGUCAGCUCGUGUUGUGAAAUGUUGGGUUAAGUCCCGCAACGAGCGCAACCCUUAUCCUUGUUUGCCAGCGAGUAAUGUCGGGAACUCCAGGGAGACUGCCGGUGAUAAACCGGAGGAAGGUGGGGACGACGUCAAGUCAUCAUGGCCCUUACGAGUAGGGCUACACACGUGCUACAAUGGCGCAUACAGAGGGCGGCCAACUUGCGAAAGUGAGCGAAUCCCAAA